GCAGUGGUAGCUCAGUGGUUAAGAAGUUGGGCUACUGAUCAGAAAGGGUGAACAUGGAGAAAUUUACAUUUAAAGAUUCCACUCAGACUCCACUGAGACACACCAAUGCAUUUAACAUGUACUAAAUAAAAUGUAAAAUAAUAAAUAUGACCAUGAACACUAGGUCUAAAUUUACAUCUUUACCCGCUGUGGCCCGGGUUCGAUUCCCUUGUGCUGCA